GAUGAACGCUGGCGGCGUGCCUAAUACAUGCAAGUCGAGCGAACGGACGAGAAGCUUGCUUUUCUGAUGUUAGCGGCGGACGGGUGAGUAACACGUGGAUAACCUACCUAUAAGACUGGGAUAACUUCGGGAAACCGGAGCUAAUACCGGAUAAUAUUUUGAACCGCAUGGUUCAAAAGUGAAAGACGGUCUUGCUGUCACUUAUAGAUGGAUCCGCGUUGCAUUAGCUAGUUGGUAAGGUAACGGCUUACCAAGGCAACGAUGCAUAGCCGACCUGAGAGGGUGAUCGGCCACACUGGAACUGAGACACGGUCCAGACUCCUACGGGAGGCAGCAGUAGGGAAUAUUCCGCAAUGGGCGAAAGCCUGACGGAGCAACGCCGCGUGAGUGAUGAAGGUCUUCGGAUCGUAAAACUCUGUUAUUAGGGAAGAACAUAUGUGUAAGUAACUGUGCACAUCUUGACGGUACCUAAUCAGAAAGCCACGGCUAACUACGUG
rnacentral:rRNA from 1 species